rnacentral:rRNA from 1 species
AGGGCACCACCAGGAGUGGAGCCUGCGGCUUAAUUUGACUCAACACGGGAAAACUCACCCGGCCCGGACACUGGAAGGAUUGACAGAUUGAGAGCUCUUUCUUGAUUCAGUGGGUGGUGGUGCAUGGCCGUUCUUAGUUGGUGGAGUGAUUUGUCUGGUUAAUUCCGAUAACGAACGAGACUCUAGCCUACUAAAUAGAUCGUCGGCUUACAAACGCCGGCGAGACUUCUUAGAGGGACAGGCGGUGAUUCAACCGCACGAAACAGAGCAAUAACAGGUCUGUGAUGCCCUUAGAUGGCCGGGGCCGCACGYGCGCUACACUGAAGUGAUCAGCGUGCAUUCUCAGCCUACUCUGCCAAGAGUGGGAAACCCAAUGAACCUUCUUCGUGAUUGGGAUAGGAGAUUGUAAUUAUUCUCCUUGAACGAGGAAUUCCCAGUAAGCGCGAGUCGUAAGCUCGCGUUGAUUACGUCCCUGCCCUUUGUACACACCGCCCGUCGCUACUACCGAUUGAAUGUUUU